rnacentral:rRNA from 1 species
GACAGAGGGUGCAAACGUUGUUCGGAAUUACUGGGCGUAAAGCGCGUGUAGGCGGCAGGGGGUGUCGGAUGUGAAAUCCCGUGGCUCAACCACGGAAGUGCACCCGAAACUACCCAGCUCGAGUCUCGGAGAGGAAGGUGGAAUGCUUGGUGUAGAGGUGAAAUUCGUAGAUAUCAAGCGGAACACCGGUGGCGAAGGCGGCCUUCUGGACGAUGACUGACGCUGAGACGCGAAAGCGUGGGGAGCAAACAGG